AUUGAACGCUGGCGGCAUGCUUUACACAUGCAAGUCGAACGGCAGCGGGGAGGAGCUUGCUUCUCUGCCGGCGAGUGGCGAACGGGUGAGUAAUACAUCGGAACGUUUCGAGAUGAGGGGGAUAACCACCCGAAAGGGUGGCUAAUACCGCAUAAAUUCUGAGGAAGAAAGCUGGGGACCUAGGAAUAGACCUAGCGCUUUUUGACCGGCCGAUGUCGGAUUAGCUAGUUGGUGAGGUAAAGGCUCACCAAGGCGAAGAUCUGUAGCGGGUCUGAGAGGAUGAUCCGCCACACUGGGACUGAGACACGGCCCAGACUCCUACGGGAGGCAGCAGUGGGGAAUGUUGGACAAUGGGGGCAACCCUGAUCCAGCCAUGCCGCGUGUAUGAAGAAGGCCUUAGGGUUGUAAAGUACUUUUGUUAGGGAAGAAAAGUCAGCUGUGAAUAAUGGCUGAUACUGACGGUACCUAAAGAAUAAGCACCGGCUAACUACGUG
rnacentral:rRNA from 1 species